AUGGCCAGAUCUUUUAGAAACAUCGGUUCUUGUACGAUCACCGAAGUUAAGCAACAUCGAGGUUGAACAGUACCUAGAUGGGUGAUCGCUUGGGAAUACCAGGUGGUGUAA